CAUCAUGUGGCAUAGUGGUUUGAGUGUUGGAAUACAACUCUGGAGACCAGGGUUCGAUUCCCUGCUCUACUA
rnacentral:tRNA from 1 species